rnacentral:lncRNA from 1 species
GAUCUAAUCACAAGACUCCUGAAAAGGUUCUGGCUUCUUCCUGGUCAGAGAGAUUUGAAGUGUGAGAGGGUCUAUGGAAGGGGCCACAUAUCAAGGACCUGAGAGUGUCCUUGGAGCUGAGGGAAGUCCCCAACAUACAGCCAGCAAAAAAGCCAGAACCUGUCUCACAACCACACUAGAAAUGAAUUCUGCCAACAACCUGAAGGAGCUUGGAAGCAGAUCUUUCUCCAGUCAAGCCCCCGGAGGACACAUGUGACUAACACUGGAUGCCAGACUUAUGAAGCCCUGUGCAGAGAACCCAGCUAACAAGUUCUGGACUCAUGACCCGUGGAAACUGUGACUUGAUAAAUCGGUGUUCUUUUCCACCUCUAAAUUUGUGGAGCAACAACCUGAUUUCAAAAGAUUGAAAUAGGCUCUGUAGAUGUCUUACAACUGUGGAGAAAAGUUGCAUUUUGACCUGAAGGAAAAACAAAUCCUUAUAUGGACAGAGAAAACAAAUGAGUGGAUGUUUGUCAACCAAUACAAGUUGCAGGUCCUUCUAGUUGUGGGAUGUGGGAUGCCGCCUCAGUGUAGCCUGAUGAGCCGUGCUGUGUCCUCGCCCAGGAUCCGAACCCUUGGCCGCAGCAGCAGACGUCACGAACUUAACCACUCCGCCAUGGAGCCGGCCCCAGAGAUGAUAAUUUUAGAAUUAGAGCCUGUUGAAGUCAUAAACAACACACAUAUAUUGAUGUUUGAAUGUUGAACCAGCCUUGCAGAUCUUGGAUAAAUCUCGGUUGUGGGGGCAUCAGCCCUUGCCUGAUAGGUUGAGAAAUGGAAGACAAGAUGAAAAGUUGGCUGUCAGCACUUUGGGCAAAUGAGACUAUUCAAAAGAGAGAAUCAGAGCAAAAGGGAGAUCAAACACAUUCUAGGCCACUUUGUCCACACUUGGAC